rnacentral:tRNA from 1 species
GGGGAUUUGGCUUAUGGUGUAAGCACCUGCCUGGCAAGCAUGAGGUUGUGAGUUCGAUCCCCA